rnacentral:rRNA from 1 species
CAUAUCAAUAAGCGGAGGAAAAGAAACUAACAAGGAUUCCCCUAGUAACUGCGAGUGAAGCGGGAAAAGCUCAAAUUUAAAAUCUGUCAGUCCUUGGCUGUCCGAGUUGUAAUCUAGAGAAGCGUUAUCCGCGUUGGACCGUGUACAAGUCUCCUGGAAUGGAGCGUCAUAGAGGGUGAGAAUCCCGUCUUUGACACGGACUGCCAGGGCUUUGUGAUGCGCUCUCAAAGAGUCGAGUUGUUUGGGAAUGCAGCUCAAAAUGGGUGGUAAAUUCCAUCUAAAGCUAAAUAUUGGCGAGAGACCGAUAGCGAACAAGUACCGUGAGGGAAAGAUGAAAAGAACUUUGGAAAGAGAGUUAAACAGUACGUGAAAUUGCUGAAAGGGAAACGCUUGAAGUCAGUCGCGCCGUCCAGGGAUCAACCUUGCUGUUGCUUGGUGUACUCUCUGUUCGGUGGGUCAGCAUCAAUUUUGACCAUUGGAAAAAGAUCAGGGGAAUGUGGCAUCUUCGGAUGUGUUAUARCCUUUGGUUGCAUACAAUGGUUGGGAUUGAGGAACUCAGCACGCCGCAAGGCCGGGUGUCAACCCACCACGUACGUGCUUAGGAUGCUGGCAUAAUGGCUUUAAUCGACCCGUCUUGAAACACGGACCAAGGAGUCUAACAUGCCUGCGAGUGUUUGGGUGGAAAACCCGAGCGCGUAAUGAAAGUGAAAGUUGAGAUCCCUGUCGUGGGGAGCAUCGACGCCCGGACCAGACCUUUUGUGACGGUUCCGCGGUAGAGCAUGUAUGUUGGGACCCGAAAGAUGGUGAACUAUGCCUGAAUAGGGUGAAGCCAGAGGAAACUCUGGUGGAGGCUCGUAGCGAUUCUGACGUGCAAAUCGAUCGUCAAAUUUGGGUAUAGGGGCGAAAGACUAAUCGAACCAUCUAGUAGCUGGUUCCUGCC